rnacentral:rRNA from 1 species
UACGAAGGGGGCUAGCGUUGCUCGGAAUUACUGGGCGUAAAGGGAGCGUAGGCGGACAUUUAAGUCAGGGGUGAAAUCCCGGGGCUCAACCUCGGAAUUGCCUUUGAUACUGGGUGUCUUGAGUAUGAGAGAGGUGUGUGGAACUCCGAGUGUAGAGGUGAAAUUCGUAGAUAUUCGGAAGAACACCAGUGGCGAAGGCGACACACUGGCUCAUUACUGACGCUGAGGCUCGAAAGCGUGGGGAGCAAACAGGAUUAGAUACCCGGGGUAGUCCCU